GUGCUCACUUGUAGCACAUAUACUAAAAAUUUUAAUGGUACAGAGAAGGUUAGCAAAGCCCCUGCUUAAGGAUGUCACAGAAAUUUGUGAAGCAUUCCAUAUUUUU